AUUGAUGUCAUUUUAUAAAAUCCUCGGGUUCGCGUCCCAGACCUUAAAACUUCAUAUCUUCUCCCUUCUCUCACUUUUCCUUCUUGCCUACAAGUAGGAUGACUCCUCCUUUAAAAAUCUGUCCCUUCCUCUACUAUUCUUCUCUCUUAUCUAUCUCCUCCAUGAUUAUCAUAUAGAUUCUUUUUAUCUCUUUUCAUUGACUCUUUUCUUAUUGAAACAUUCCCAAGAGUCCCACAUCACAAAAAAUAUCAAUGAUAACAAUAUUUUAAAAGAUGUAUUGAAACAAUAUUUUAAAAGAUGUAUUGAGUUUCUGCUAUGUGCCAUCAUCCAUGCCAACUGCUUAAAAUACAUCUUAUAUGAUUCUCACAACAACCUUAUGAGCUUAAAUUAUUAUGAAGAAAUUCAUUCUUAUGAAGAAACUGUGGUUUUAUUUUUCAUUUGUUCUUUCUAGAUACACAUGAAAGUAGAGUGUAUUUUGACAUUAUACAUACAUAGAAUGAGUAAAACUUGUUCCAGUUAAGAUCCCCAUUAUUGCCAGACAUAGUGGUACAUACUUAUAACCCCAGCAGCUCAGGAGACUGAGGCAGGAGGAUAGUGAGUUCAAAGCCAGCCUCAGCAAAAGGGAAGAGCUAAGCAACUCAGUGAGACUCUGUCUCUAAAUAAAAUACAAAAAAGGGCUGGGGAUGAGGCUCAGUGAUCAAGUGCUCCUGAGUUCAAUCCCUGGUACCAAAAAAAAAAAAAUCCCAUUAUUGUGGUUGUAUCUGAUGGGGAGUUACAUUGGUCAUGUAUUCAUAUAUAUGGAUAGGAAAAAUAUGCCUAUUCAUUCUACUGCCUUUUAUAUUUCCAUUCCUCCCUUCCCUUCAUUUCCUUUUGUCUAGUCCAAUGAACUUCUAAUCAUCCCCUGUGAUUAACAUCCACAUAAAAUCAGAGAGAACAUUCUGCCAUUGUGCCAAUCCUAAAAACCAGCAAGGGGCAAUGGGGAAUUAAGAAAGACACACAAACAUUUACAAACAGAAAGGUGGAACCAGAUGGGACACUGACCUCUGAUGGAAGAACAGUGAUCCAGAGCUAGCACAGCAUAUUUCUUAUAUAGGAUUUAUCAUCAAGAGAUUAUUUGUGGGAAAGUUUUUGCAAAUUAUGCAGGCUUGAAGGUUGCAGCAAUUGCAAGAUAUUGUGGUUAUCUUGUUAUGCUCAGAAUUCUCUAUCCCUGGCAGCUGGUGUCUGAGCUCAAGGUCAAGACUGUUAUUGUUCU
rnacentral:lncRNA from 1 species